rnacentral:rRNA from 1 species
AGCGAACGCUUGCGGCGAGCCUAACACAUGCAAGUCGAGCGCCUGUAGCAAUACAGGAGCGGCGGACGGGUGAGUAACACGUAGGUCAUCUACCUCUCGGUGGGGGAUAACCAGGGGAAACUCUGGCUAAUACCGCAUGGGGUCCACGGAUCAAAGCAGCAAUGCGCCGGGGGAUGAGCCUGCGUCCGAUUAUUUAAUCCUAGUUGGCGGGGUAACGGCCCACCAAGGGUACGAUCGGUAGCUGGUCUGAGAGGACGAUCAGCCACACUGGAACUGAGACACGGUCCAGACUCCUACGGGAGGCAGCAGUGGGGAAUAUUGUGCAAUGGGGGAAACCCUGACGCAGCUACGCCGCGUGGGUGAUGAAGGCCUUCGGGUUGUAAAGCCCUGUCCGUGGGGACGAAAACUGACGGUACCCACGAAGAAAGCACCGGCUAGCCCUGUGCCAGCCGCCGCCGUAACAC